GUGCCAGCAGCCGCGGUAAUACGUAGGGUGCGAGCGUUGUCCGGAAUUACUGGGCGUAAAGGGCUCGUAGGUGGUGUGUCGCGUCGUCUGUGAAAUUCCGGGGCUUAACUCCGGGCGUGCAGGCGAUACGGGCAUGCUUGAGUGCUGUAGGGGUAGCUGGAAUGCCUGGUGUAGCGGUGAAAUGCGCAGAUAUCAGGCAGAACGCCGAUGGCGAAGGCAGGUUACUGGGCAGUUACUGACGCUGAGGAGCGAAAGCAUGGGUAGCGAACAGGAUUAGAUACCCUGGUAGUCCAUGCCGUAAACGGUGGGCGCUAGGUGUGAGUCCCUUCCACGGGGUUCGUGCCGUAGCUAACGCAUUAAGCGCCCCGCCUGGGGAGUACGGCCGCAAGGCUAAAACUCAAAGGAAUUGACGGGGGCCCGCACAAGCGGCGGAGCAUGUGGAUUAAUUCGAUGCAACGCGAAGAACCUUACCUGGGCUUGACAUACACCAGAUCGCCGUAGAGAUACGGUUUCCCUUUGUGGUUGGUGUACAGGUGGUGCAUGGUUGUCGUCAGCUCGUGUCGUGAGAUGUUGGGUUAAGUCCCGCAACGAGCGCAACCCUUGUCUUAUGUUGCCAGCAAUUUGGUUGGGGACUCGUGAGAGACUGCCGGGGUUAACUCGGAGGAAGGUGGGGAUGACGUCAAAUCAUCAUGCCCCUUAUGUCCAGGGCUUCACACAUGCUACAAUGGUCGGUACAACGCGUUUGCGAGCCUGUGAGGGUGAGCUAAUCGCUGAAAGCCGGUCGUAGUUCGGAUUGGGGUCUGCAACUCGACCCCAUGAAGUCGGAGUCGCUAGUAAUCGCAGAUCAGCAACGCUGCGGUGAAUACGUUCCCGGGCCUUGUACACACCGCCCGUCACGUCAUGAAAGUUGGUAACACCCGAAGCCAGUGGCCUGUUAAAGGGAGCUGUCGAAGGUGGGAUCGGCGAUUGGGACGAAGUCGUAACAAGGUA
rnacentral:rRNA from 1 species